GACAGAGGGUGCAAACGUUGUUCGGAAUUACUGGGCGUAAAGCGCGUGUAGGCGGCGGUGCAAGUCGGGUGUGAAAGCCCUGGGCUCAACCCAGGAAGUGCAUUCGAUACUGCGCUGCUAGAGUCCCGGAGAGGAUGGUGGAACUCUCGGUGUAGAGGUGAAAUUCGUAGAUAUCGAGAAGAACACCGGUGGCGAAGGCGGCGUCCUGGACCAACACUGACACUGAAAAGCGAAAGCCAGGGGAGCAAACGGG
rnacentral:rRNA from 1 species